rnacentral:rRNA from 1 species
UACGAAGGGGCUAGCGUUGCUCGGAAUCACUGGGCGUAAAGGGUGCGUAGGCGGGUCUUUAAGUCAGGGUGAAAUCCUGGAGCUCAACUCCAGAACUGCCUUUGAUACUGAAGAUCUUGAGUUCGGGAGAGGUGAGUGGAACUGCGAGUGUAGAGGUGAAAUUCGUAGAUAUUCGCAAGAACACCAGUGGCGAAGGCGGCUCACUGGCCCAUUACUGACGCUGAGGCACGAAAGCGUGGGGAGCAACAGG